GGAGUCACGCCGGGAAUCUUACCAGGGGAGACAGCAGGGUGAAGGUCAGGCUGAAGACCUUACUAGACGAGCUGAGAGGAGGUGCAUGGCCGUCGCCAGCUCGUGCCGUGAGGCGUCCUGUUAAGUCAGGCAACGAGCGAGACCCCUACCGUUAAUUGCUACCCUAACCAGCAAUGGUGAGGGGGCUAGUUAAUGGGACUGCUGCCGCUAAGGCGGAGGAAGGAGGGGGCCACGGCAGGUCAGUAUGCCCCGAAACUCCUGGGCCACACGCGGGCUGCAAUGGUAGGUACAAUUGGUUCCGAACUCGAAAGAGAGAGGCAAUCCUCAAAGCCUACCCCAGUUGAGACUGAGGGCUGAAACUCGCCCUCACGAAUCUGGAAUACCUAGUAAUCGCGUGUCACCAUCGCGCGGUGAAUACGUCCCUGCUCCUUGCACACACCGCCCGUCGCUUCACCCGAGUUGGGUCUGGGCGAGGUGGCGCCUAAUUGACGUCAUCGAACCUGGGUUCGACAAGGGGGGAGAAGUCGUAACAAGGUGGCCGUAGGGGAACCUGCGGCCGGAUCA
rnacentral:rRNA from 1 species